UUCUCUCUCAAUCUUUGUGCAAAUUGUCUUAACGUCAAAUUGUUUCCUACUUGUUACUGUCUUCUUUCUUCUCUAUUGUUCUUUAUAUAUUUAGUUGUUUGAGUUUUAUUUGUCAUGAAUGAACUCAACUUACUUGACAACUUCUACUUUUGCUGACUCAAAUCAGCUGAAGUAUUUUGUUAUUUUUUAUUAUUGUUGUUGCACAUCACCCACAAAAAUUCCAAAUUGGGAAAUCACAAUCUAAGACGCAAGCUUCAACAAUGGUGGAUUUCGAAGCUUUUCAUAUUAUUAUUUUUUGAUUCGGUAUACAAUCAUAGUUAAUCAAAUUUUUAGGUUCCAAUUUCUUCUUAUGUUCCAACAUUAGAGUCUCAAAUGCCUACCGAUAGACACGAAGCUUCUCUAUUUAUUAGAUGAAUGAGGACAAGAAGAUCUUAAAAGAGGUAAAGGAAAAGACCAACUUCAUUUUACUGCUUUAGGAUCUAACUUGAUUCUACAAGUUUUAUUGGAAUUGCUAUAAAAAUAAACUCAAUUGUUUUUUUAUUAACUUAACACAAUUUGAGAAGAAAAAAGAAAUUUUGAAUGUCUGGACAAUCGUCAAUAUCUCUGAUGGUGCCUACUCCGCAAAGCGCAAAGUUGAAGGGAGCUCAACGAGUUACUUUCUAAGCAAAGCUGGAUGAUUAUUAGAGCUUCAAUCGCAUAUGUGUGUAAAGAGCCCACCAUAUGAAAUUGAUAGAAAUUAUGGGACAACAUUUAUAUGUGGCAUGAUCUCAAACUACUUAAUGGUAACUAGGAACUAUGGUGCUUUAAGGAGGUGACUGUAGCUGGAACUUCUGAUACCAUUUGUUUCAUUCAAGGAUGCUGAUUAUGAUGACUCAAUUUGUGUAGUGAGUUGUAUAUACACUAAGUAAGUUACAGAGUGUUUUUGGUUUCAAUUUCAGGGGUUUUAUAUUUGUCAUUGUUGAUAUGCGAAGAGUAGGUCUCGGUUCUUUGUUGUUGGUUCUUUCCAAAGUACUACAUUUUUGUAGAUUGACUUUGGUAAAUGAAAAAGAUAGUGUUAUCAUUCCUUAUGAAGGGAUUUUUUCUUGUCAAGUAUUGUAAGUUCAUAAUCUGAUUGUAAUAUAUUAUUUUUUACCUGCCUUAAUUGAUUAAACUGUAGUAAUAUUUUUUGUGGAAUCAUUAUAGAUUAAAAUUAAGUAACGACAUCUUGAAGUGAUUUAUCACAUUUCAGUUGGUUGGAAGUCGAAGAAGAAGAGAAAAAGGAACUCUAGAAUGUGCUGCGAACUGCAAAUUUGUAAUGACAUGAUGACACUAAGAUUACUGUCAUUGAGUUGUGAAAAUUAUGAUGUCUGGUCCAGAAAUUCAGGAUUAGAAAAAGUAGGGUCUAUAUAUAUUUAUA